AGAACGAACGCUGGCGGCAUGCCUAACACAUGCAAGUCGAACGAGACCUUCGGGUCUAGUGGCGCACGGGUGCGUAACGCGUGGGAAUCUGCCCUUGGGUUCGGGAUAACAGUUGGAAACGACUGCUAAUACCGGAUGAUGACUUCGGUCCAAAGAUUUAUUGCCCAGGGAUGAGCCCGCGUAGGAUUAGCUAGUUGGUGAGGUAAAGGCUCACCAAGGCGACGAUCCUUAGCUGGUCUGAGAGGAUGAUCAGCCACACUGGGACUGAGACACGGCCCAGACUCCGUACGGGAGGCAGCAGUGGGGAAU
rnacentral:rRNA from 1 species